rnacentral:rRNA from 1 species
CGGUAUGUAAAGCUCUAUCAGCAGGGAAGAAAAUGACGGUACCUGACUAAGAAGCCCCGGCUAACUACGUGCCAGCAGCCGCGGUAAUACGUAGGGGGCAAGCGUUAUCCGGAUUUACUGGGUGUAAAGGGAGCGUAGACGGCGACGCAAGUCUGAAGUGAAAUACCCGGGCUCAACCUGGGAACUGCUUUGGAAACUGUGUUGCUAGAGUGCUGGAGAGGUAAGCGGAAUUCCUAGUGUAGCGGUGAAAUGCGUAGAUAUUAGGAAGAACACCAGUGGCGAAGGCGGCUUUCUGGACUGAAACUGACGCUGAGGCUCGAAAGCGUGGGGAGCGAACAGGAUUAGAUACCCUGGUAGUCCACGCCGUAAACGGUGGAUGCUGGAUGUGGGGCCCGUUCCACGGGUUCCGUGUCGGAGCUAACGCGUUAAGCAUCCCGCCUGGGGAGUACGGCCGCAAGGCUAAAACUCAAAGAAAUUGACGGGGGCCCGCACAAGCGGCGGAGCAUGCGGAUUAAUUCGAUGCAACGCGAAGAACCUUACCUGGGCUUGACAUGUUCCCGACAGCCGUAGAGAUAUGGCCUCCCUUCGGGGCGGGUUCACAGGUGGUGCAUGGUCGUCGUCAGCUCGUGUCGUGAGAUGUUGGGUUAAGUCCCGCAACGAGCGCAACCCUCGCCCCGUGUUGCCAGCGGAUUAUGCCGGGAACUCACGGGGGACCGCCGGGGUCAACUCGGAGGAAGGUGGGGAUGACGUCAGAUCAUCAUGCCCCUUACGUCCAGGGCUUCACGCAUGCUACAAUGGCCGGUACAACGGGAUGCGACACGGCGACGUGGAGCGGAUCCCUGAAAACCGGUCUCAGUUCGGAUUGGAGUCUGCAACCCGACUCCAUGACGGCGGAGUCGCUAGUAAUCGCGGAUCAGCAACGCCGCGGUGAAUGCGUUCCCGGGCCUUGUACACACCGCCCGUCAAGUCAUGAAAGUGGGUAGCACCCGAAGCCGGUGGCCUAACCCCUUGUGGGAUGGAGCCGUCUAAGGUGAGACUCGUGAUUGGGACUAAGUCGUAACAAGGUAGCCGUACCGGAAGGUGCGGCUG